rnacentral:rRNA from 1 species
GACGAACGCUGGCGGCGUGCUUAACACAUGCAAGUCGAACGGAAAGGCCCUGCUUUUGUGGGGUGCUCGAGUGGCGAACGGGUGAGUAACACGUGAGUAACCUGCCCUUGACUUUGGGAUAACUUCAGGAAACUGGGGCUAAUACCGGAUAGGAGCUCCUGCUGCAUGGUGGGGGUUGGAAAGUUUCGGCGGUUGGGGAUGGACUCGCGGCUUAUCAGCUUGUUGGUGGGGUAGUGGCUUACCAAGCCUUUGACGGGUAGCCGGCCUGAGAGGGUGACCGGGCACAUUGGGACUGAGAUACGGCCCAGACUCCUACGGGAGGCAGCAGUGGGGAAUAUUGCACAAUGGGCGGAAGCCUGAUGCAGCAACGCCGCGUGCGGGAUGACGGCCUUCGGGUGGUAAACCGCUUUCGCCUGUGACGAAGCGUGAGUGACGGUAAUGGGUAAAGAAGCACCGGCUAACUACGUG